CAUGCGGUCCACAGAGCCAAGAAAGGGCUCUCAAAGUUCAACCCUAACUCACAAAAUUGAUCAAAUUGAGAAGGCAAUUCAAGUUCAAAUCAAAAACCAAGAUCAAUCUAGUGAUCACUCAAGUGAGGGGAUCACAAGGCAAGGAAUCGAGUCUUCAAGCGGACAAGCCGGAGCGGACACACGCUUGAAGGGAACGCUUUAAAGAUGGAGGCUUGGGCAAGGAGCGGGUCAAACGGAUCGGGUACGCGAAAAAGGAGCAUAACCGGAUGCAAGGUAAGCGACGCUUACAUCCUUUUUGUAGAAUAUGCAUUAUUUUGUAAAUUACAAAUGCGAUUAGUGUAAUAUCCGAAAUAAGGGUUCCGACGCUAUUAACACGAGUCGGAACAAACAUAAAUGAUAAAAACCAAGGGUCACGGUGAAAAGAGGCGAAACGGUAAUUUAGUCACGUAAUGACUAAUAAUUAAUGAGUUUUCGUUAAGAUCACUUUAAAGUGCAACUAAUAGCGAGAAAAUGAGUAAAGAUGGAAAUUUAGUCAAAUAUCGACUAAAGUAAAUCGUGGUUUAAAAAGGGGUCUAGUGGCAAAAAUCCGAAAUAGGUCGGAUGAGCAAAUUGGUAAAAUUAAUAACCAUGUUUUGCUACUUAUGAAGAUGCUUGGUCGUAUAGGCCAAACGGGUCAAUUGGCGUGAUAACACCAUUUGACAAUAUCGACUAAUGUGGUUGUCAAGUCUUGUGAUAACAGGAGCAAUUAACGAUUCGGAUACUCCCGUCACCAUAGAAAAUGUGAUAAUAAAAGCGAGGUAUAAAUCGGGUCUAUUUGUUGAUCCGAGCCAGGUACGCAUAUUUAUGAUGUAUGUAAAAGUGCUAAUUUGGUCGAAUAAUUGGUGAUAGUCCUUCAUUGUAGAAGAAGGACCAAAAUCGACCAAAACGCCCUUGUAGGCUAAAUUGAACAAACAACCCUUAGAGGUUGUUUGGAAACGAGUCUUAUGAUUAAACAAAAGUUUAGAACGAGUAUGGGUAGUGAAAGACGUAAUUCUUGGGCCGAAAGACUCCAUACGAGUCUUUGCCGUAAAAUGAUAUUUCAAGGAGUAUAAUUCAGAACACAUAGAUAUCUACUUUAAAUCAAACACACAUUUAGUUGUGAUGGAAGAGUACUAGAUAAGAAAUAUAGAGAAUGAAAGCGAAUUUGAGCUUAAAAGUGCUUAAAAUAUCCUUAACGGGUCAAAAUAAGCAUACUAGUGAAAACAGGUUUAAUUUGUGUAAUAAACCUAUGAUUCGAACCUAAUAUGGUAUAUAACAUUUAUUUGAAGAAGUGCAUGAAAUAUAGGAAUCAAAUAAAUAUGUUUGUUUGAUAAAAUGCAUAAACGGGUCAAAACUUGGUAUAAAGGGUAAUAAGCUGAAGACUUAAAAGUCUUAAACUUUGUUAAGCCGAAUGUCGGAUUUUAACUCCACAUAAUGGAGAAUUAAAUUACAAACACGUAGGAAGAAACGGUAGGUCAAACAGACUAACGAAUAGAAAGAUACGGAAGUUUUCGUGUCAUUAAGCGGCAAAUGGAAAAAGGCUGAAUUCAGGGACCACCGUAACUUACGGUGUCACCGUAAGUUACGGUGGAGUUGAACUCUUUACGGCAGUCUCCCCCUGAGUUACGGUGGGGAAAGUCUUAAACAGAGACCACCGUAACUUACGGUGCCGUGGAGGCAAACUUGAAAUGCAAUGUUUUGGAUCAAGAGAUUAUCUUUGGGAUUUCUUUCCAUUAUCAUAUAUCUUGUUUGGUACCGUUAUUUAACGAAAUCAAAACUAACUGUUGAGUCGGUUUUGAACACAGGUGUAUGUCGAGAGCCCGGAUGAAGAUCAAGCGUCAAGCAAGAACCGAACACAUGUUUAAUAAAGCUUCCGCAACGUUGUUUUGUCGUUAUUCUAAACGACGAAUUAAAUCACAUUAUGUAUAUCGCGUAAAUUAUAAAAGUUUUUAAC